UCAAAGUAUGGGAUCCUUUCCACUG
rnacentral:piRNA from 1 species